AUGGAGAUUCCCAUGGGGACCCAGGGCUGCUUCUCAAAGAGCCUCCUGCUCUCAGCCCUUCCCUGUAACUUCCCACAGCCUCAAUCCUGGUCCUCUGGAUGCUCCAAGGCUCCCAGGCAGCUCUCUACAUCCAGAAGAUUCCAGAGCAGCCUCAAAAGAACCAGGACCUUCUCCUGUCAGUCCAGGGUGUCCCAGACACCUUCCAGGACUUCAACUGGUACCUGGGGGAGGAGACGUACGGAGGCACGAGGCUAUUUACCUACAUCCCUGGGAUACAACGGCCUCAGAGGGAUGGCAGUGCCAUGGGACAGCGAGACAUCGUGGGCUUCCCCAAUGGUUCCAUGCUGCUGCGCCGCGCCCAGCCUACAGACAGUGGCACCUACCAAGUAGCCAUUACCAUCAACUCUGAAUGGACUAUGAAGGCCAAGACUGAGGUCCAGGUAGCUGAAAAGAAUAAGGAGCUGCCCAGUACACACCUGCCCACCAACGCUGGGAUCCUGGCGGCCACCAUCAUUGGAUCUCUUGCUGCCGGGGCCCUUCUCAUCAGCUGCAUUGCCUAUCUCCUGGUGACAAGGAACUGGAGGGGCCAGAGCCACAGACUGCCUGCUCCGAGGGGCCAGGGAUCUCUGUCCAUCUUGUGCUCGGCUGUAUCCCCAGUGCCUUCAGUGACGCCCAGCACAUGGAUGGCGACCACAGAGAAGCCAGAAUUGGGCCCUGCUCAUGAUGCUGGUGACAACAACAUCUAUGAAGUGAUGCCCUCUCCAGUCCUCCUGGUGUCCCCCAUCAGUGACACAAGGUCCAUAAACCCAGCCCGGCCCCUGCCCACACCCCCACACCUGCAGGCGGAGCCAGAGAACCACCAGUACCAGGACCUGCUAAACCCCGACCCUGCCCCCUACUGCCAGCUGGUGCCAACUUCCUGAUGGGUCCUGGGCCAGGCCAGCCAGGGAGAAGACAAGGCCCCAGCCCUCCUCUGGGAGCCUCACACCUGAGACCAGCAGGACAAGGCCAUUGGGGGCUGUGGGGCCGAUGAGGUGGACUCAGCCAAAGACUCAGCAGCACAUGGGGCAGGUGUCCUGGCAGGGGGACAGGAGACUGUAACAGGCCCAGGUCCUUGUGCAGCCCGUGAAUGCACGCCCGCCUUCGGUCUGUUCCUUCAAGCAAGCUGGCCUGGGCCAUGUGCCUGUGAAAGGCAGGCUCUGGCCCCUUUCCAUGCCAAAGUCCCCCAAGAUCUGGAUAUCUGGGGACAAGAUGGUGGCCUCAGGCCUGCCUCCCAGGCAGUUGGCUGGGCUCCCAACUGUCUGUCCUCAAUGCCCUACCCCAACUCCACUAGUGACCCUCAGAGUCUUCUCCCCUUAGGACAAGGCAGACACCCCACCAUGCGGGCCUCAGGUGGCAGAGAGGCCCAGCCUCACAGGCCUGUGGCCCCACACACCAGUCCCAGCAAGGUGACCACGGCUGCUGGACCCCUUCCCUGUUCAGGCAGGCCCAGCCCCUCUCAGAACCUGCUGCCAGCUGCUGGUCUUGGCCCCCACCCUGAAUCUUACUGAGUCCCUCUGGGCAGCAGCUCCCUUCUCCACCCCACCCCAGCACCCGUCCCAAAUGUGGCCUCAGCUUGUCCUCCCCUUCCCCAAACUAUGCAUUCAUUCAGCAAUAAAUGAGCCUUUGCUGUAUGCCAGACCCAGUUCUAGGCUCUUGCAGCCCUGGUAGAAAGCAAAACAAAAACUCCCGCUUUCCCAGAGGGUCACUUGGCAGGGGAAAGAAUCAGGAAAUAAAAUAAAUAAUGAA
rnacentral:misc_RNA from 1 species